UACCAGCCGGGGAGUCAGCGGCGCCCUGUACCUGAAAUCCGCUAUAGCAGGGGUUGAUUCCCCUUCUGAGAAUCGAUCGUUUCGGAAUGAGUUGUUUUUCCUGUGUUGAGGAAUGGGUCUUGCGCAAUGCGGAGCCGUGAACCAUGUCAGGUGAGGAAUCAAGCAGCAUUAAGCGGUGAACCGUAUGUGCCGCGAGGUCGCCUGUUCUGAGCAGGAAAUCCAAAGAUCGCCGGGGCGUGACAUCCGAGGAAGGG
rnacentral:SRP_RNA from 1 species